rnacentral:rRNA from 1 species
UUAAGUAACGAUAGCCUAGGAGAUACACCUGUACCACUGCCGAACACAGCAGUUAAGCCCUAGUACGCCUGAAGUAGUUGGGGGGUUGCCCCCUGUUAGAUACGGGGAGUUGCUUAGC